GUUUCGGUAGGUUUUCCGCGCGAUAUUUCUACGUAAACUUCAGGUGGUCAAGGACUCAGGAGGUGGCCUAAAAUGUUUAAGAAACAGUACCACAGUGUUGCCUAUAUUUGUUUACAUUUUUAAAAACGAAGUACGUCGAAUUAGCUAUCAACAGUUCCUUUUAGCUAUUUACCACUGGAUGUGCUGUCAACUACUUUGAUACUGAAGAAAUAUCAACAACCUGAUGACUCUCGGGCAAAUCAUAAUUACGAGGUCAUCCUCUCUAACCCAAGCAAAGGUUUCAUAGUCGGAUGCACUCUUGAAUCCCACCUGCAGGACAUCGACCAUCUGCAGACCCCGUGUGCACAGAUGACAAAGAUCUCCAAAGGGGAGUCGAGAGACUGGAUCUGCUUUCCUACAGUCAGGUGAACACCGGCACCUCCUAGUGGGCAGAAACUAACCACGCACGUGACCAACAGUGGUUGUAGUGAACCUAAAAUAAUGGU